rnacentral:lncRNA from 1 species
UAAAACCUUUAUAUAGGUUUAAAACUAUCUGAGGGAAACCUUAGCAAUUUGAACCAUAUUCUAAAUGACUGAAAAAGUGAUGAAAAAGUCUCCAAACCCUUGUGUAUACAUGCCAACAUCCACUUUGUAAGAUAUUUAAGAUAGCAUUCAGUAAACUAAUUUCAAAGACAUAGGCAGUAUGUACUUAGUAAGACAUAAACCUUAGUAUCCUGAUGGAUCUUUAAGGACUUAGUCUUAAUCACCCUUCUUAGCAAUUGACACUGAGUGCUUUUGUAAGACGAAUUGAUUUCAAUGUGGGUAUAAGUAAAUUAUUCUCUGUGCUUUUCCUCUAUCGAGAAACAUCAAACCUGCUGUAAUGAUACACUGGAGCAAAGUCACUGUGACCUCCUGCUACUUGCUGGUCUACAGUGUUGCACAAUCAUUGAUCCAGAAGGACCUUGGCCAAGCUAAUCUGACACUAGGGUUCAGUGAAGAGCCACAGAGAUUGCUGCAGAAACUAUAUCAGAUUUGGAAUAAAAUAUUCAUCCCUGCAAAGUCUUCAAAUUAUGUUUAGAUUCAUGGUACUCAUCAAGAUUCCAGAGUCACUCUCAAAACUUAUUUCAGGCAAGGUGAUUUUCUUAGAAAAUCUCCAAAGCCAAACGGCAAAGAUAGAAAAACACUGGGGAAGCUAGUUAAAUCAAAAUGAAGAAACCCAUGUUAAACUCUGAAUCCUUUUAUGUGUAUACACACAAUCUAAUAUUUAAUAACACUUGCUGCCUACAUAUAC